GACGAACGCUGGCGGCGUGCUUAACACAUGCAAGUCGAACGGAAAGGCCCUGCUUUUGUGGGGUGCUCGAGUGGCGAACGGGUGAGUAACACGUGAGUAACCUGCCCUUGACUUUGGGAUAACUUCAGGAAACUGGGGCUAAUACCGGAUAGGAGCUCCUGCUGCAUGGUGGGGGUUGGAAAUUUUCGGCGGUUGGGGAUGGACUCGCGGCUUAUCAGCUUGUUGGUGGGGUAGUGGCUUACCAAGGCUUUGACGGGUAGCCGGCCUGAGAGGGUGACCGGCCACAUGGGGACUGAGAGACGGCCCAGACUGCUACGGGAGGCAGUAGGGGGGAAUAUGGCACAAUGGGCGGAAGCCUGAUGCAGCAACGCCGCGUGCGGGAUGACGGCCUUCGGGGUGUAAACCGCUGUCGCCUGUGACGAAGCGUGAGUGACGGUAAUGGGUAAAGAAGCACCGGCUAACUACGUG
rnacentral:rRNA from 1 species